UCGCUAUCCUCUGAGAUUGAGUCAACUAACUUUCUGACUGAGUCGAUAAGACCUUGUCUUGAUCGACUCACCAGAUUUUGGAUCGACUAAGCCUCCUGACAUUCAAAAUAUGGCUUUCUAUCUUUUACUUUCAUUAAGACAUGGUCAGCUCAGAUUUUUACUAGAUCGACUCAGCUGGCGUGCUAAGUGUAUCAUGAGUCUUUGACAGUCUUUCUUCUCCAAUUUGAUUUCUAGGCUAGACUUACCUUUUUAACUUGAUUUAAUCCUCAUUAAAAUUCUUUGCAAGAUGUCUCAAGUCUAGCAUUUCUUCAUUAAGUCUUGAGUGGUGGUUCU
rnacentral:lncRNA from 1 species